rnacentral:rRNA from 1 species
AUUGAACGCUGGCGGCAUGCCUUACACAUGCAAGUCGAACGGCAGCGGACCUUCGGGUGCCGGCGAGUGGCGAACGGGUGAGUAAUAUAUCGGAACGUACCUUUCAGUGGGGGAUAACGUAGCGAAAGUUACGCUAAUACCGCAUAUUCUGUGAGCAGGAAAACAGGGGAUCGCAAGACCUUGCGCUGAUUGAGCGGCCGAUAUCAGAUUAGCUAGUUGGUGAGGUAAAGGCUCACCAAGGCGACGAUCUGUAGCGGGUCUGAGAGGAUGAUCCGCCACACUGGAACUGAGACACGGUCCAGACUCCUACGGGAGGCAGCAGUGGGGAAUUUUGGACAAUGGGCGCAAGCCUGAUCCAGCCAUGCCGCGUGAGUGAAG